UACGGAGUUAGCCGAUCCUUAUUCUUACGGUACCGUCAAGCCUCUUCACGAAGAGGUGUUUCUUCCCGUACAAAAGCAGUUUACACACCAUAGAUGCUUCAUCCUGCACGCGGCAUGGCUGGUUCAGGCUUGCGCCCAUUGACCAAUAUUCCUCACUGCUGCCUCCCGUAGGAGUCUGGUCCGUGUCUCAGUACCAGUGUGAGGGAUCUCCCUCUCAGGACCCCUACCCAUCAUAGCCUUGGUAUGCCGUUACCAUACCAACUAGCUAAUGGGACGCAUGCUCAUCUUACACCAAUAAAUCUUUAAUAAUAAUGUGAUGCCACAUCAAUAUACUAUAAGGUAUUAAUCCAAAUUUCUCUGGGCUAUCCCUUAGUGUAAGGCAGAUUGCAUACGCGUUACGCACCCGUGCGCCGGUCUCAAAAUCCGAAGACUUCUACCCCUCGACUUGCAUGUGUUAGGCCUGCCGCUAGCGUUCAUCCUGAGCCA
rnacentral:rRNA from 1 species